rnacentral:rRNA from 1 species
AUGGAGAUGCUUUCCUUGAUGAUUGGCGAGUUGCUCUCGGAAGAGAAGUCAGAGUUCAGUGGGCAGACCUUCGGAGAGUACCUUCGAGCUGGUGUCCCUUCGAUCGCCCCCAUUUCCCAGCUUGGUUGCGGGCUACACGAUAAAUCUCUGGCUAGUUUACACCUAGGAAGGAUUCUGAAAGAUAUGGCUGAUGAUGCCAUCUAA